rnacentral:lncRNA from 1 species
GGCGCUGUGCAACCUCCCCUUUGGUUCCCCUUCGGUGGCAAUGCCUGCAGUGUGUUGCCCUUUAUGUGCCGAGGACCUGCCUCUUCACAGUGGGUCAGGCCAGCGGCGCGGCCUCACGGGGAGCUGGUGAGGAUGCAGAAUCCUGGGCCUGCCCACCUGGUGGAAUGAGAUUCUGCACCUUCACAGGAACCACAGGCGGUUCGUGAGCAGGUUAAAGUUGGAGGCGUCUUGGUCUAACACGUCAGAGAGCUCGAGGUGGAAAAUGAGGGCAGGGGUAUGUGGAGUGAGGCUGACCUACGCAGGCACUACUGCUGUGGUCCAGGUUCAAAAUCGUCCACCGCUGUGAAGUUUGUAGUAGGAGGUGUCUUAGGUUGAGUUCCCCACCCAGACGCAGACUCUGAGCGUACACAGUUUAUCUGGACGAUGAAACUCCAUGGGGCAUAAGGAGACGGGAAAGGGAAGGAAGCCAAGCAUUAGCAAGCCAUCCAUUGCUGUGGGCGCCUGGAGCUUAGUGCUGCUGGGGAACUCUGGGACGCAACGUAUGUAACUGAAUUGACCCAGCUGGUGGUCCUUCCAACUCCUACCAGCUCAUGCGCCCACUGUGCUCAGCGCUCCCCAACUCUGCGUCCAGUGAUGUCCCAUUUGGCAGCUUGAAAUUAGCCACGGUAGGAGUAUUUACACCGUGGAAAUCGGCAAACACUGCAACCAGGACUCCCCUUCCCCGAGAUGUCCUGUUGUUAAUCAUUUCCCAGCAC